CCACGCUGCUGCCUGUUUCCCUCUGCCCUUGGGUUUCCAACGGAAAUGCCUUCCUGUAGUUCAGAUCGCGGUGGGUCCCGGACGGUGCCGAGGAGAGCUUCUCUCCAGCACGUCCGGGGCUCACAGCUCCUGAACCGGAGGCAGCCAGGAGGCCGGGCCCUGUGUGUCUGUGGAGCACAUGCCUCCCCGGCCGUCCUCGCUGCGCCCUCACACCUCUGGAGCCCACUCUGUGCCCCACCGGGCCGGCCGCACAAAUGGCCCCGUCUUAAAACGUGGACGCCUUCCUUUGCCCGCGGAAUGUUCUGCUGUGUGGUUUGUACGGUCCGCUGAUGGACACUUUGGGUUUUUUUCUGGCCAGCCCAGGACCACCAGUGGGCAGGAUGCCUCUCCGGAAGCGGGGCCGCGGGGUCAGACGUCGUAUUGGUAGCUCUGACAGAUGGGGCCGAGCCUGGGUCCUCACGGCCCGCAACCGUGCGUAACAAAGCCGUGGCCGGUCACACAGGCGAACCGGCGAUCGCUGCGAUCAUCGAGGCUUUGGGAGCGUGUCUGUCACCGACAGCUUUGUGGUUUUGCUGUUUACCUUGAAACCUGGCCCGUUUGGAAUUUAUUUUGUGAGAAUACAGACCCAGCUUCGUUCUUUCCAGAUGGCUGUCUGCCUCCCCGGGCGUCGGAUGUUGCUGCGUUUUGUCCAGCACCUUUCGGACAUCCAGCAGGGGUGCGUGUACGAGCUGCUCGGAGGGGAGAGCCGACGGUCCGGAGGCCAGGAGGCACGCAGGUUGUGCGAGCAGGUGAUUUGAGGAGGUUUCGCAAAAGUGCUCUUCUCGGAGGUGUGGGCAGGGAUUAGGGACACCACGAGGGAGAGUGCAGCCUGGGGCCAAGCGAGCCCAGGCCCGAGGGCAGAACUAGCAGAGCAUGGGAACCAGUCUCUGGGCUCCGGGUGGAGGGCGGGGCCGCCCACAGGAGGGGGAGGCACAGUGCCAAGACCGGGACUCAUCUGGGUUUUGAGGACUUGCUUGGUUGAUGUGGGUCCCAGAGCUCCGGCUGGCGUGGCUCUGGGACGGUCUGUGGGUGCCGGAACCACAAGGAGCUCACGGGGUGGGGGGAGGUCGCAGGAAGCCUGGGCUCUCAGAGAAGAGCCCGUGCAUUCCAGGGGUGUGACCGAGGCCCCCCGGCAGGAUGGGGAACCAGAGUCCAGCCUGUCCUCAGCCCCAGGGCUCUCCUACCUCGGGCCUGCACAUCUGGACCCAAGGCCAUGCUCAGCACAUGGGGAAGGGGGACACCGCCUCCAGGCAGGACGGGGCAAGAAGGGAGAGACGCAGACACCGAGGAGAAGCCGCUUGGAGACGGAGACGGGGCAGAGGCUGGAGCGAGGCGGCCCCAGCCAGGGACGCCCGGGGGCCCCAGACACUCCCCCCACCCCAGAGCCCCCACCCCCGGACGGAGUGAGGCCCUGCCCUCCUUGGUCUGCCUUGUGGUCUCAGAGCCGGUGGAGAACACACUCGUGCUGUCCAAGGUGCCCCCGUGGCAGCGUGGCCUCUGGUCUCCGUCCUCCCGGCCCCCGCCCCCGGCUGCCUCUCGUGUCUUCCCUGCCUCCUUUGCUACGACCACUGACCUCGGGCUCUAAACCCCACAUGCGCGUCUUGGCCAGGACCUCUCCCCACGGAGGCCCCUGUCCGAGCGCCCGGCACCAAGCGGGCACCUCCCCCGUGCCCGGUGAGCAUCCCUCUUGGUCUGGGGCACCCCCUCCGCCCCCUGCACUGGCUUCAACCGCCCCCUUCUUCAACCGCUGGCAAAUCCCACCAACUCAGACUUCAGAAUGAAGCCACAAAGCACCCUUUCUGUCCCCACCCACUGGAUUAUUUGGGGGCCUCUAACUGGGCCCCCUCCCUGCCCUCACUGUGCUCUGUGGAGCGGCCAGAGCCCCCUCCCUCACUUCGCUCCAAACCUGCCUUACCACUUCGCACUGGCUGUUCCCUCUGACGAGAACACCCUUCCCUACGUCCCUUCCUGGCUGGCCGGUCCCCUCACCGCCUUUGCCUGCAGCUCGUCCCACGUUCCCAUUAUGCCUCCGGCUUCCUCGGGACCGCUCGCCCCCCCCAUUGGAAGUGCUGAUCUUCUGUCUGUGGGCCUAGCCCCCGUCACGACACUUUCCACGCGCCCUUCUCUCCCUUGUGGCCGAGUCACCCAGAGCGCAGGUGACGAGAUCAGCAGGCUCUGUCCUCGAACGUAUUUGCAGAGGGAUGAACUCAUGAAGGAUGGAGAUGAAAACAGAGACACAGGAUGAGCAAACCCCAGGCUGGAGGCCGACAACUCGGGCCGGUGGUGCUGGGGGCGCGGGGACUCGGCAGCAAAGGGCCCGUGGGGCUUCAAGGCCUUCGGCGACACCCAGUCUUCCAGAACAGCCGCGCUGUUCAGGGGGCACCCCAAGAAAGGAUCCCGCAAACCGAGGGGACGCCCACAGAGGCCUCUGCGAGGGGUCUCGGGACAGCAGGUGGGGGCUGGCGGCCUCCCAGGUGCUGCACGCCCGGACGUCGCCUUUCCGCCACGGUCGCUUUCCCCGGCCACCCCGCCGGGCUCGGGGCCCUCUGCCAGCCCUGCCUCUGGGGCCGCCUGCCUCCGUCCUUCCGUGGUUCCGCUAGGACAUUCUCUGGAAAGCCAGAGUGCGCACAGAACCCGCCGCCACGCGGGCCACCACACCCAGUGCCCCACGGGGAUCGUCAUUUCCCAGGACGCGGGGGCUGCGUCUUCGCGAGACUGUUUCCGUGCUAAAUAAAAUCAAGAUUCUGCGCGACCC